CUUUUAGCUGAUUUCAAAUGAUUUCAAUUUUUCGAUUUCAUUAAUCAGUUCAACUGCUUGAGGACAACUCAGUAAAAUUACAGCGGAUGACGAAAUUAGAUAUUGUAUGAACAUCUCGCAUAAAUUUGCAUAAGAUUCAUUCUUCAACGAAUGAAUAAAUAACUCAUGAGUUUAUAAAAUGGUCGCCGGGUCUAAAGUGUUGAUGUGAAGUUCAAAAGAAAGUCAAUCUCUGAUAAUACUUCGUUAAAACAUCAAAAAUGAGGUUUUCGGGUCCGCUUGCAUAGAUAUACAUGUCGACAAGGACGGUAUCAAGGGACUCUACAAAUUUGCGCGCAGGGCACAGAUACUCGAGGCAGAGUGUAAAACGGCCGAAAGGCUGAUUACACUUCUGGACAAAUCAGUAUUUUUAGAGAUACGGGGACGAUGGCUUUAAUAAUACGGACAAAGUACAGAUUCAAUUGGAAUUAAUCGGGGCUCGUUUGGAUGAUUAUGUGGAUAGAACGAUGCUUUGUGAGUACGGUCAUUAUAUUUUGGGCAAUGCUUUUUUUAUUACAAAUGAAAUUUUA